rnacentral:rRNA from 1 species
AUGGACGAUGGUGCAACGGCAACGGCAGGAGGAGGAACAAGCAGCGGCGGCCACCACCUCAUCGGAUCGAGGAUUGAGGAGCACCGCAAGUACAUGUCGGACUCGAGCUGCUGUCCCAGGUGCGGCCACAAGAUCGACCAGAAGCUGGAUUGGGUGGGGCUCCCGGCUGGGGUGAAAUUCGACCCGACGGAUCAGGAACUGAUCGAGCAUCUGGAGGCGAAAGUCCUGUCCGGCGGCACGGCGGCGGUGGCGGCCCCGUCUCACCCUCUCAUCGACGAGUUCAUACCCACCAUUGAGGGGGAGGAUGGCAUCUGUUACACCCACCCAGAAAAACUGCCAGGUGUGUCCAAGGACGGUCUGAGCAGGCACUUCUUCCACCGGCCAUCCAAGGCUUACACCACCGGCACCCGCAAGCGCCGGAAGAUCCAGCCGCCGGCAAUUGUGGACGCUUCCACUCUCUCCUCCGCCGGAUCAGCGGCUGCGGGUGCAGCACACCAGCAGCAGCAACAGCAGCAGCGGAGCGAGACGCGGUGGCACAAGACCGGCAAGACGCGGCCGGUGGCUGUGGGCGGCCGACAGAGGGGGUGCAAGAAGAUUUUGGUGCUCUACACCAACUUCGGCAAGCACCGAAAGCCCGAGAAGACCAACUGGGUGAUGCACCAGUAUCACCUCGGUGAGUCUGAGGAAGAGCGCGAGGGCGAGCUCGUUGUCUCUAAGAUCUUCUACCAGACGCAGCCGAGGCAGUGCGGCGUCGGGGAUGGAGCCUCGGCAUCAGUACCAUCUAGCACUGGCAGGUCCGCCGUGCAGAAGAGGAGGGUCGACAGUGCAGGCACAUCACCGGCGGUGCGCAUGACCCCGUCUGACAUGGUCAACGCCGCAUUCCAGGGCACCACACACAUCCAGGACUUUAGCUUCGCGCAGUUCAGAAACACCGUCGAGGAGGUGGGAAUGGGAGGAUCAGAUCACCAAGUGGUGCAAGUUAGGGCUGACGAGGGAGUGUUGCAUCGUCCUGCAGCGCUUCACCAUCAGCUCCAGCAGCACCAACAGCAGCAGCGGCAUCACGUCGUGGAUGAGCACGAUCACCGGCGCCACCACCACCACUACCCCGGCCUCCAACAGGAGCACCACCGCUCGUCGACAGCGGCGUUCCAAGUAAGCACACCGACGGACCCCAUUGCCACACUGAUUCCGGUCCACCAGGGCUCGGUUGUGCUUACGGCGCCGACAGCGGAGCCCUACGGUCAUGGGGCACCGAGCUACCAUAAUCAGGAGGAUGAGCGGCCACACCAAACGCGAAAGUUCGAUGGACGGUCGACUUCUGGCCUCGAAGAGGUGAUCAUGGGAUGUACAUCGAGAAGGUCCAAAGGAGGAGAAACAUCAGGGAGCAAGGAGGGCACAGAAUGGCAGUACCCAUCCUUCUGGCCUUCUGACAACCAGGAUCAUCAUGGGUGA